AUUGAACGCUGGCGGCAUGCCUUACACAUGCAAGUCGAACGGCAGCACGGGUGCUUGCACCUGGUGGCGAGUGGCGAACGGGUGAGUAAUACAUCGGAACAUGUCCUGUAGUGGGGGAUAGCCCGGCGAAAGCCGGAUUACUACCGCAUACGAUCUACGGAUGAAAGCGGGGGACCUUCGGGCCUCGCGCUAUAGGGUUGGCCGAUGGCUGAUUAGCUAGUUGGUGGGGUAAAGGCCUACCAAGGCGACGAUCAGUAGCUGGUCUGAGAGGACGACCAGCCACACUGGGACUGAGACACGGCCCAGACUCCUACGGGAGGCAGCAGUGGGGAAUUUUGGACAAUGGGCGAAAGCCUGAUCCAGCAAUGCCGCGUGUGUGAAGAAGGCCUUCGGGUUGUAAAGCACUUUUGUCCGGAAAGAAAUCCUUGGCCCUAAUACGGUCGGGGGAUGACGGUACCGGAAGAAUAAGCACCAGCUAACUACGUG
rnacentral:rRNA from 1 species